rnacentral:lncRNA from 1 species
AGUCAAGUCAAUUUCUAGUGUUAAAUAAGGAAAUUUCUCCAUUUCAAUUGAGCAUGUAUAUGCUAUGUUACAAGUUUAUAGAUGCGUCGACGAUAGCAUCGCCCGUGCCACGGCAACCAUCUACAGAACAGCGGCUGCGACAAAACAUCCGUACACCGGGAUGGCACGGAAGAAUACGGCAGCCAGUGGUACUGGCACCAAGAACACCGGAGCAGGAGGUGGUGAGCCCUGGCCGCUCUGCUCUGCCGCCACCGCGGCGAGCGCCUCGAAUCCGCUAUCAGCUUGGACCGCACAGGUUGCAGUCGCGCCACAUGCUGUAUACUCCGCCGCAGAGCUCUGCGCCGCCGCGAUCCCUGACGGUGCGUCGAAUCCGCC